GCCUAGUGUGAGAAGGUAAGAAGUCCUGAUCUUCUGUCAUGAACAUGUAGUGUUUUCUAAUGACAAAACAUAUCAAUCUAAUAAAAUCAAAUAGGCAAACAAUUUGAGUAAACUUGAAGAGGAUAUCCCAGUAGUCAAAA
rnacentral:lncRNA from 1 species